ensembl:lncRNA novel transcript
UUAUCAAAGCUGAUUUCAGGGAGCAAAGUUCCCACCAGGAGAGGCCACAGCCUCAUUAGAGAGUUCUGGGAAUGAUGAAAAGCCAGGCCGCCGUGCACAUCCCUGGGACAAUUAGGCCUUGUCCCUCUGCCUUCAAAGGCAAUCUCACUGUCUCUGCGCGUGUGUGCGCACGUGAGAGGAGAAACCGGAGAUCACGAGGCUGCCUGCCGGCACUGCUACGUUCUCUACAAACAGCAAACUCGAAAAUGCCGUAUUUCCCUGAUAAAUAAUUCCCAUUCUAAGGGAUUCCACCCCCCAUUCCAAGUCCCCUCCAAAAAUAUAUAUUGAAAGAAAACAAAA